rnacentral:rRNA from 1 species
ACCAAGGCAACGAUCAGUAGCCGGCCUGAGAGGGUGAACGGCCACAUUGGGACUGAGACACGGCCCAAACUCCUACGGGAGGCAGCAGUGGGGAAUAUUGCACAAUGGGGGAAACCCUGAUGCAGCGACGCCGCGUGAGUGAAGAAGUAUUUCGGUAUGUAAAGCUCUAUCAGCAGGGAAGAAAUACUGACCAUAGGGUCAGCAGACGGUACUUGACUAAGAAGCCCCGGCUAACUACGUGCCAGCAGCCGCGGUAAUACGUAGGGGGCAAGCGUUAUCCGGAUUUACUGGGUGUAAAGGGAGCGUAGACGGCAGCGCAAGUCUGAAGUGAAAUGCCAGGGCUUAACCCUGGAACUGCUUUGGAAACUGUGCAGCUAGAGUGCAGGAGAGGUAAGUGGAAUUUCUAGUGUAGCGGUGAAAUGCGUAGAUAUUAGGAGGAACACCAGUGGCGAAGGCGGCUUACUGGACUGUAACUGACGUUGAGGCUCGAAAGCGUGGGGAGCAAACAGGAUUAGAUACCCUGGUAGUCCACGCUGUAAACGAUGAUUACUAGGUGUUGGGGGACCAAGGUUCUUCG